rnacentral:rRNA from 1 species
CUACGGGGUGCUCCAGGCGAGAAAACUUUGCAAUGUGCGAAAGCACGACAAGGUUAAUCCGAGUGGUUUCUGCUAAAGGAACCUUUUGUCGGUCCUAGAAACACCGAUGAAUAAGGGGUGGGCAAGUUCUGGUGUCAGCCGCCGCGGUAAAACCAGCACCUCAAGUGGUCAGGAUGAUUAUUGGGCCUAAAGCAUCCGUAGCCGGCUCUGUAAGUUUUCGGUUAAAUCUGUAUGCUCAACAUACAGGCUGCCGGGAAUACUGCAUAGCUAGGGAGUGGGAGAGGUAGACGGUACUCGGUAGGAAGGGGUAAAAUCCUUUGAUCUAUUGAUGACCACCUGUGGCGAAGGCGGUCUACCAGAACACGUCCGACGGUGAGGGAUGAAAGCUGGGGGAGCAAACCGGGAUUAGAUACCCGCGUAGUC